rnacentral:rRNA from 1 species
AUUGAACGCUGGCGGCAGGCCUAACACAUGCAAGUCGAACGAGUCUCGGACUUCUGCGUCAUCUCUCGGAAACUCCCUGAUUGCCGCUGAUAACUACUGGAACCGGUAGCUAAUCCCGCAUACCAUCCUAUGUUCCCAUAUGUGAUUAGCUAGUAGGUGGGGUAAAGGCUCACCUAGGCGACGAUCCCUAGCGGGGCUGAGAGGAUGACCAGCCACACUGGAACUGAGACACGGUCCAGACUCCUAAGGGAGGCAGAAGUGGGGAAGAUUGCACAAGGGGCGCAAGCCUGAUGCAGCCAUGCCGCGUGUAUGAAGAAGGCCUUCGGGUUGUAAAGUACUUUCAGCGGGGAGGCGGGAAGCGAAGAAGAAGCAACGGCUAACUCCGUGCCAGCAGCCGCGGUAAUAG